GAUGAACGCUGGCGGCGUGCCUAAUACAUGCAAGUCGAGCGAACAGACGAGGAGCUUGCUCCUUUGACGUUAGCGGCGGACGGGUGAGUAACACGUAGGUAACCCACCUAUAAGACUGGGAUAACUUCGGGAAACCGGAGCUAAUACCGGAUAAUAUUUCGAACCGCAUGGUUCGAUAGUGAAAGAUGGCUUUGCUAUCACUUAUAGAUGGACCUGCGCCGUAUUAGCUAGUUGGUAAGGUAACGGCUUACCAAGGCAACGAUACGUAGCCGACCUGGGAGGGUGAUCGGCCACACUGGAACUGAGACACGGUCCAGACUCCUACGGGAGGCAGCAGUAGGGAAUCUUCCGCAAUGGGCGAAAGCCUGACGGAGCAACGCCGCGUGAGUGAUGAAGGUCUUCGGACCGUAAAACUCUGUUAUUAGGGAAGAACAAACGUGUAAGUAACUGUGCACGUCUUGACGGUACCUAAUCAGAAAGCCACGGCUAACUACGUG
rnacentral:rRNA from 1 species